rnacentral:rRNA from 1 species
UUNUGAACUGGGUGACUAGAGUGUGUCAGAGGGAGGUAGAAUUCCACGUGUAGCAGUGAAAUGCGUAGAGAUGUGGAGGAAUACCGAUGGCGAAGGCAGCCUCCUGGGAUAACACUGACGUUCAUGCCCGAAAGCGUGGGUAGCAAACAGGAUUAGAUACCCUGGUAGUCCACGCCCUAAACGAUGUCGAUUAGCUGUUGGGCAGCUUGACUGCUUAGUAGCGAAGCUAACGCGUGAAAUCGACCGCCUGGGGAGUACGGUCGCAAGAUUAAAACUCAAAGGAAUUGACGGGGACCCGCACAAGCGGUGGAUGAUGUGGAUUAAUUCGAUGCAACGCGAAGANCCUUACCUGGUCUUGACAUGUACGGAACCCUCCAGAGACGGAGGGGUGCCUUCGGGAGCCGUAACACAGGUGCUGCAUGGCUGUCGUCAGCUCGUGUCGUGAGAUGUUGGGUUAAGUCCCGCAACGAGCGCAACCCUUGUCAUUAGUUGCCAUCAUUAAGUUGGGCACUCUAAUGAGACUGCCGGUGACAAGCCGGAGGAAGGUGGGGGUGACGUCAAGUCCUCAUGGCCCUUAUGACCAGGGCUUCACACGUCAUACAAUGGUCGGUACAGAGGGUAGCCAAGCCGCGAGGUGGAGCCAAUCUCACAAAACCGAUCGUAGUCCGGAUUGCACUCUGCAACUCGAGUGCAUGAAGUCGGAAUCGCUAGUAAUCGCAGGUCAGCAUACUGCGGUGAAUACGUUCCCGGGUCUUGUACACACCGCCCGUCACACCAUGGGAGUGGGGGAUACCAGAAGUAGGUAGGGUAACCGCAAGGAGCCCGCUUAC